GGGGGUAUAGCUCAGUUGGUAGAGCGUCUCGUUCGCAAUGAGAACUCGCCGAUUUCGCUCACGUUCGCUCACCUGCUCUCA
rfam:Verrucomicrobia bacterium 13_2_20CM_2_54_15_9cls 13_2_20cm_2_scaffold_3970, whole genome shotgun sequence.